rnacentral:misc_RNA from 1 species
UGAGCUUUGCAACCCUUCUAAUAGCUGUGAACAAUAAGCACACAAAGCAUGUCAGGACGCUAUCUGAAAGCAUGCAGAUGCCAAUGCUGCAAGCCAGUCCAUUAUCCAAUAUAAAAAUCAAGACAGGUUCUCAUAAAGCCUCCACUAAAUUGCCCAUAAGAGAAACAACAAAAAAUAAAAACAAACCACAAAACUAAUGAAUGGUAAAAACCCAAUCCUUAUUCUUUUUAUUUUUUUGUGUUCACUCAUUUCCAUCAUCCUUCCAAUACGUCAAUAAUAACCAAGAGGUAUGAGUUAUAGAAAUAGAUGCAUUAAGAAUAUUAAAGGGAAAUAUGUUAAAGGAAGCAGUAUUAAGUUACUCUAGCAGAUGUCAAUCUACAAAGGGUUAAGAUGGGAAAACAUACUCACCACACCAAAAAGACUAGAUGCAACAAAGUCUUUGCAAAUGAUAUCACAUCACAAAAGCCAAAAAUUUUCUAAAUUUAAACACUUACUCUUGAUGUUGGCUGAAUUCUGCG